UGGAGUAUGUGGUUUAAUUCGACGCAACGCGCAGAACCUUACCUGGUCUUGACAUCUCGGGAAUCAUUUGGAAACAUAUGAGUGCCUCGCAAGAGGAGCCCGAUGACAGGUGCUGCGUGGCUGUCGUCAGCUCGUGUCGUGAGAUGUUGGGUUAAGUCCCGCAACGAGCGCAACCCUUGUCUUUAGUUGCCAUCAUUAAGUUGGGCACUCUAAAGAGACUGCCGGUGUCAAACCGGAGGAAGGUGGGGAUGACGUCAAGUCCUCAUGGCCUUUAUGACCAGGGCUACACACGUACUACAAUGGCAGGUACAAAGGGCAGCCACUUAGCGAUAAGGCGCGAAUCCCAUAAAACCUGUCUCAGUCCGGAUUGGAGUCUGCAACUCGACUCCAUGAAGUUGGAAUCGCUAGUAAUCGCAGAUCAGCACGCUGCGGUCGAAUACGUUCCCGGGCCUU
rnacentral:rRNA from 1 species